CAGCAGUAAACUAUGCCGACGAUGUGAUAUGAAAUUAUUUGUAUUACAUAAUAGAAAUUAGAGUUUUUUGGCUCUGGGGAUAGUAUGAUCGCAAGAUUGAAAAAUUAAAGAAAUUGACGGAAGAAUACCACAAG
rnacentral:rRNA from 1 species